UGGGGAAUAUUGGACAAUGGGCGCAAGCCUGAUCCAGCCAUGCCGCGUGAGUGAUGAAGGCCUUAGGGUUGUAAAGCUCUUUCAGUAGGGAAGAUAAUGACGGUACCUACAGAAGAAGCCCCGGCUAACUUCGUGCCAGCAGCCGCGGUAAUACGAAGGGGGCUAGCGUUGUUCGGAUUUACUGGGCGUAAAGCGCACGUAGGCGGAUUGGUCAGUUAGGGGUGAAAUCCUGGAGCUCAACUCCAGAACUGCCUUUAAUACUGCCAGUCUCGAGUACGGAAGAGGUAAGUGGAACUCCUAGUGUAGAGGUGGAAUUCGUAGAUAUUAGGAAGAACACCAGUGGCGAAGGCGGCUUACUGGUCCGGUACUGACGCUGAGGUGCGAAAGCGUGGGGAGCAAACA
rnacentral:rRNA from 1 species